CCGAGUUUACAACUCCCAAAACCCCUGUGAACAUACCACUUGUUGCCUCGGCGGAUCAGCCCGCUCCCGGUAAAAACGGGACGGCCCCGCCAGAGGACCCCUAAACUCUGUUUCUAUAUGUAACUUCUGAGUAAAAACCAUAAAUAAAAUCAA
rnacentral:misc_RNA from 1 species